rnacentral:lncRNA from 1 species
UUUGAUACAAUACUGGCAAGAAUGUAAAAUGACUCAGCCAUCUUUUUGCCUUUCAGUUGUUUCAUAAGUAGAAAAAGAGUUCCACGUCUUCACACAUGUGUAUCAGCCUGCCUUUAGCGAUUCUUAACAUAGUCCAUGGCCAUGACAACAUCAAAGAGUUGUGAGCCAAAUGUUCUUCGACAGGAAACUGGGUGGAAUACACAUUAUUCCUGGACAAACCUUGGAGCAGACCUGCCCUUGGUGCUGGCAGGGCAUUUGUUUCUCAAUGAUACUUACAAAAAGGAAGACUAUUAAUGGCUCCUCAUCAGUUCUACUUACUACUCCAGUUUCUGUUUCAUCAAAACGUUUCCUGCAACAGGCACAUAGACACCGGCUUUAUUUAACCCUGUCUGUUUCUAAUGACUUCGUGGGCGCUUGUUCAUUUGGAGUUGGCCUGGCUGCUACCUCUGUCUGGAAUAUUCUUCACAGGCCUUGCUCAUACCUCUUUAUCUGGGUCAGUUCCUGCUCUGCCUUUGAUGUCAACCUACUUCCUCAAGACAUCUCUUGAAAUGAUGUCAAGCUGGUGACAGGCCAGCCAGUUGGAAGGCUGAGAUUUCCUUGCAGCUCACCCAUAAGGACUACACAUAGAAGAGACAGGGUGGAACCUUGUAAGUAGAGUUUGUAACUUCAGCUGCCAGAUGUCUCCGAGAGUCACAGGGCUAUAGGUACUGCAGGUCUUACCUGGUUGUGGACAGAUAUUGCUGUUGGGGGAGGCCAACUCUGAGAUGAAGGUAAGUGUGUAGCAAAUUAGAGAGUUCUCUGGGCCCAUAGGGAAAAGAAAACAAGUAGGGUGCAGGGGAAGUUGAGCUAAUCUCAAUAGAAUUCUGGAACUAAAAUGAUCUUUUAGAGCUGUCUAUAAAGGUGUAACCUUGGGGAUGAAUCUUCUCGUGAGGGCCCAUAUCUGGGCUGCCUGUGUGUGAUGCUCCCAACCUCUUGACAGGUCUGGGAAUGCAGCACAGAGUUGGCACAUAUGUCUUUUGUUGUGAGAGUCUCCCAGAGUGGCAGAUGCCCAUCAUUUUCUGUAGUUAUGUCUUCACUGGGCUUAGAAUGUCUUUACUGUUUUCAAAGUUUUUUCUUCAUGGUAAACAAAAGCCAAGCCAAGCCAGACAUGGUGGUACAUGCCAGUGAUGCCAACACCUGGAGGCUGAAGCAAGAGUGUUACUGCAAGUACAGGACCGAUCUGAGCUAUACAUAGUUGAGUUAGAGGGCAGCCUGGGCUACACAGUAAGAUUCUGUCUCUAAAUAGCUGGGUGUUUGUUUGUUUGUUUUUAAAAGCAAACUUUAUAUUAAAUAAGAGAUGCUUUCUUGCUAAUUCUCAUUUAAAAUAUCAGAUCAGAGAAACCAAAUGACACUUGAACUAUCUAAUAGAUUUCUAUAAUUUCUAUAAUAUCUGAUAGCUGUAUUUCCUUUUAUAGCCUUUCUUGACUUUACAAACCUAAUUUAUUUGCUGUUUUUUUAAAAAUAUGUUUCUUCUCUAGUUAUCUGUUAUAAUUCAUUAAACAUUAUUU